CUGACGCCCUCCUCCCCAUCUCCGAUUCCUCCUCCGCCCGCGAUUCCUUCUCUCCUCGCCGCAUCCCCGUCCCCGUGCGCAAAUACCUCCUGACGCCCUCCUCCCCAUCUCCGAUUCCUCCUCGGCCCGCGAUUCCUUCUCUCCUCGCCGCAUCCCCGUCCCCGUGCCCUUCUCCAAACUCCGCCAUCCCCGUCCCAUACUCCCUCCCUUGGAAAAGAUCAAUUGGAGGAGUAAUUCCGGCUUCAUCCGGUGGUGGCGAUGCCGGAAAAGAUCGAUUUUUUUUUUCGACGGGAGGAGUAAUUCCGGCUUGAUCCGGUGGUGCCGAUGCCGGAUCCUGCGACGGCGCCGAUGCGAGCCACCAAGGGCCGUGGACUCCCUCUCCGGCUGCGAUUCCGCCAAACCCUGUCGUCUCGGCGUCCCAGCGACCAUCUCCGAGGCGGAUAAAAUCGUUUCUUUCGGUAGCAGCCCGAGGAGAAGGCCCGGACAAAUCCUCGGAGCAGUAAGCCCGCCGCUCCAGCACCUUUCCUCACCGCCGUCGUUAUCAAGAUCACAAGAGCAGGACUCUUUGGACGGUGCUGAAGAUUGACCGGUUGGAGUCUACUGAUUUGGGUAUCUAGGAGUAUCCUACUAGUUACACGGAGAAUUGAUUGUCAAGAACUAAUUUGGCGGAUUCACGAGGGAAAUAGGUUUUCUGAAGUUUCUUAGUCCUUACUACAUGGUUGCAAUUACCAGGAGAAGAAAAGUUGGCACAAUCUGUGGCCAUGAUAUUUUUAUUCAAUUGGAAAGAGUGAAAUGGUUGCAAUAGAAAUCUGCAUUUAAGUCUUCAGCUCUCAUAUUCUUUUUGUGGUUUAUUUCUUUAUACACUCAGAGAGAGAGGACUGGUUAGCUUAGGCCAUCGGAGUAUCUGUUUGAUUGAUGUGAUGAAUUUCAAUUUUGCCUUGGAGUAUUUAUUUAUUGAGCUUUACCUGUCUUUUUCUCAGGUUCUCUUGGUGGUCGGAAUUUUGCAAGGUGAAGUUGGUCCUAUGAUUUCUGUCAUGAAAAUUGAAAUGACACGUUUGGAGUCUUGUUCUGAUGUCGGUGGUUUACAUGUUCCAAUUCAAGAUAUUAAAGAAGUAGUUGAACUUCCCGAGCUAUAUGAGGACAUUGGAUUUAGGCCUCUCAAGGUAGUCAUACUGUAUGGGGAACAGGGAAAACUCUACUUGCAAAGCACAAUAUUCUCCACUGGUAGGCAUUCGUUGACGAGAAGCUUGGCCAAACCCAGUAGGUAUGCGUGGAAUUAUUGAGCUCAGGUUUUUUGGGAUUAAGAUUCUUACACCAAAGGAUCACUAUAUACCAAGACUUCGAGGAUGAUAAGAGCGGAAGAUUUGGAUUUAAUUGUUAGGCUCGAUGGCUCAAAAUACGACAAGGAAUCAACUGAAAGAGGAACAUGUAUGAAUCGUACGGAAGAACUACUAUAUGCUAUUAAGUUGUUUUGUCGCUGAGAGGGUCUGGUGUUCGACUACCUCCCUGUGCGUUCACGAGCUCCGCCCCUGCGUUCGUGGGUAUUGACAGAUGGUGGGCCCGGGUCCAGAGCGCUCCGAGGCUCCUUCCUCAGCGCGUGCUGGGAGGGGUGCUUCCCUUCCACCCCAGCACCUCCGAAGAGCGCUGAUAGACAGUAUGCAGUCACCAACGGCGGGCGCUUCUUCUUCGGCCGGGAGAGGUCGGGGGAAGAAGAGGGGUGAUAGCACCCAUAUCACAUAAACCAUGAUAACAAUCAUCUCCUAUUUUAAUCGAGACAACAAGCAUGCCUAAAACAUGUCUAUGUUUGUAUUUUGUACUGGGUUUAGCAAUUCUUGCUACUUCACCGAUGAAGUAAAUAACACGCCCAUCAACAUUAUCGACCAAGAGAUCUUUAACCAUAGCAACACUAGCUUCUACUUUAAUUAGCUCAGGGGGUUUAGGUGCUUUAAUAUUACUUCUGUGAGCCCCAGUUGAAACCAUAUCAUGCUCCUUUAUCUUAACAGGAAAAGGUGGUUUCUCGAUGUAAGCAGUAGGAACAACUGGUCAACAUUGUAAAUGAUAGUUUCCUCUUUAGGAACUACUGGUUCUUUGAUUUAUUCUUGAAUAGGGGGA